rnacentral:rRNA from 1 species
CCUACGGGCGGCAGCAGUGGGGAAUAUUGCACAAUGGGGGGAACCCUGAUGCAGCAACGCCGCGUGGGUGAAGAAGUACUUCGGUAUGUAAAGCCCUGUUAGCAGGGAAGAAAAUGACGGUACCUGACCAAGAAGCCCCGGCUAACUACGUGCCAGCAGCCGCGGUAAUACGUAGGGGGCAACAGUUAUCCGGAUUGACUGGGGGUAAAGGGAGCGUAGACGGCAAGGCAAGGCUGGAGGGAAAGCCCGUGGCCCAACCCCGGGGCUGCUGUGGAAACUGUGUUGCUUGAGUGCAGGAGGGGUAAGCGGAAUGCCUAGUGUAGCGGUGAAAUGCGUAGAUAUUAGGAGGAACACCAGUGGCGAAGGCGGCUUACUGGACUGUAACUGACGUUGAGGCUCGAAAGCGUGGGGAGCAAACAGGAUUAGAUACCCCUGUAGUC